UUAAGAGUAAUGCGAAUUCAUUCGUUUAUUCAUUGUAUUAAUACAAAAAUUCAGAAGCACCUGUCACUUUUCAUUCAACAAGGAACUUUACACAACUUCUGAAAUCGUUUUCAGAUAUUUCCUGUGUAGAUCGCCUUAUCGUGGGAAAAACUUUAAAACAUAUUCUUAAAUAAACAUAUUUGAACGUUAUUUUUACCCGUUGAAAAUUGAAAGUCGCAUUGUCGACAUGCGUUUACUGUUCGGGCUUUACUUAAGGAUUUGUCUAUUGUUCGGAGCAUUCUCACAUGUACAAACAAUUCCAGUAAUAAAUGAGGUGCCUACAACAAUACAGUCUACUACAUCAGUGACAA